CACGCCGUAAACGAUGGGUACUAGGUGUGGGAGGUAUCGACCCCUUCCGUGCCGCAGUAAACACAAUAAGUACCCCACCUGGGGAGUACGGUCGCAAGAUUAAAACUCAAAGGAAUUGACGGGGGCCCGCACAAGCAGCGGAGCAUGUGGUUUAAUUCGAAGCAACGCGAAGAACCUUACCUGGACUUGACAUCUCCUGAAUAGUGUAGAAAUACAUGAAGCCCUUCGGGGCAGGAAGACAGGUGG
rnacentral:rRNA from 1 species